GGUUAAGCGACUAAGCGUACACGGUGGAUGCCCUGGCAGUCAGAGGCGAUGAAGGACGUGCUAAUCUGCGAAAAGCGUCGGUAAGGUGAUAUGAACCGUUAUAGCCGGCGAUGUCCGAAUGGGGAAACCCAGUGCAAUUCGUUGCACUAUCGUUAACUGAAUACAUAGGUUAACGAGGCGAACCGGGGGAACUGAAACAUCUAAGUACCCCGAGGAAAAGAAAUCAACCGAGAUUCCCCCAGUAGCGGCGAGCGAACGGGGAGCAGCCCAGAGUCUGAAUCAGCUUGUGUGUUAGUGGAACGGUCUGGAAAGUCCGACGGUACAGGGUGAUAGUCCCGUACACCAAAAUGCACAGGCUGUGAACUCGAAGAGUAGGGCGGGACACGUGGUAUCCUGUCUGAAUAUGGGGGGACCAUCCUCCAAGGCUAAAUACUCCUGACUGACCGAUAGUGAACCAGUACCGUGAGGGAAAGGCGAAAAGAACCCCGGCGAGGGGAGUGAAAAAGAACCUGAAACCGUGUACGUACAAGCAGUGGGAGCACCUUCGGGUGUGACUGCGUACCUUUUGUAUAAUGGGUCAGCGACUUAUAUUCUGUAGCAAGGUUAACCGUAUAGGGGAGCCGCAGGGAAACCGAGUCUUAACUGGGCGUUAAGUUGCAGGGUAUAGACCCGAAACCCGGUGAUCUAGCCAUGGGCAGGUUGAAGGUUGGGUAACACUAACUGGAGGACCGAACCGACUAAUGUUGAAAAAUUAGCGGAUGACUUGUGGCUGGGGGUGAAAGGCCAAUCAAACCGGGAGAUAGCUGGUUCUCCCCGAAAGCUAUUUAGGUAGCGCCUCGUGAACUCAUCUUCGGGGGUAGAGCACUGUUUCGGCUAGGGGGUCAUCCCGACUUACCAACCCGAUGCAAACUACGAAUACCGAAGAAUGUUAUCACGGGAGACACACGGCGGGUGCUAACGUCCGUCGUGAAGAGGGAAACAACCCAGACCGCCAGCUAAGGUCCCAAAGUCAUGGUUAAGUGGGAAACGAUGUGGGAAGGCACAGACAGCCAGGAUGUUGGCUUAGAAGCAGCCAUCAUUUAAAGAAAGCGUAAUAGCUCACUGGUCGAGUCGGCCUGCGCGGAAGAUGUAACGGGGCUAAACCAUGCACCGAAGCUGCGGCAGCGACACUAUGUGUUGUUGGGUAGGGGAGCGUUCUGUAAGCCUGCGAAGGUGACCUGUGAGGGUUGCUGGAGGUAUCAGAAGUGCGAAUGCUGACAUAAGUAACGAUAAAGCGGGUGAAAAGCCCGCUCGCCGGAAGACCAAGGGUUCCUGUCCAACGUUAAUCGGGGCAGGGUGAGUCGACCCCUAAGGCGAGGCCGAAAGGCGUAGUCGAUGGGAAACAGGUUAAUAUUCCUGUACUUGGUGUUACUGCGAAGGGGGGACGGAGAAGGCUAUGUUAGCCGGGCGACGGUUGUCCCGGUUUAAGCAUGUAGGCUGGUUAUCCAGGCAAAUCCGGAUAAUCAAGGCUGAGGUGUGAUGACGAGGCACUACGGUGCUGAAGUAACAAAUGCCCUGCUUCCAGGAAAAGCCUCUAAGCAUCAGGUAACAUUAAAUCGUACCCCAAACCGACACAGGUGGUCAGGUAGAGAAUACCAAGGCGCUUGAGAGAACUCGGGUGAAGGAACUAGGCAAAAUGGUGCCGUAACUUCGGGAGAAGGCACGCUGGUGUGUAGGUGAAGCCCCUGCGGGUGGAGCUGAGACCAGUCGAAGAUACCAGCUGGCUGCAACUGUUUAUUAAAAACACAGCACUGUGCAAACACGAAAGUGGACGUAUACGGUGUGACGCCUGCCCGGUGCCGGAAGGUUAAUUGAUGGGGUUAUCCGUAAGGAGAAGCUCUUGAUCGAAGCCCCGGUAAACGGCGGCCGUAACUAUAACGGUCCUAAGGUAGCGAAAUUCCUUGUCGGGUAAGUUCCGACCUGCACGAAUGGCGUAAUGAUGGCCAGGCUGUCUCCACCCGAGACUCAGUGAAAUUGAACUCGCUGUGAAGAUGCAGUGUACCCGCGGCAAGACGGAAAGACCCCGUGAACCUUUACUAUAGCUUGACACUGAACAUUGAGCCUUGAUGUGUAGGAUAGGUGGGAGGCUUUGAAGCGUGGACGCCAGUCUGCGUGGAGCCAACCUUGAAAUACCACCCUUUAAUGUUUGAUGUUCUAACGUUGGCCCCUUACCGGGGUUGCGGACAGUGUCUGGUGGGUAGUUUGACUGGGGCGGUCUCCUCCUAAAGCGUAACGGAGGAGCACGAAGGUUAGCUAAUCCUGGUCGGACAUCAGGAGGUUAGUGCAAUGGCAUAAGCUAGCUUGACUGCGAGCGUGACGGCGCGAGCAGGUGCGAAAGCAGGUCAUAGUGAUCCGGUGGUUCUGAAUGGAAGGGCCAUCGCUCAACGGAUAAAAGGUACUCCGGGGAUAACAGGCUGAUACCGCCCAAGAGUUCAUAUCGACGGCGGUGUUUGGCACCUCGAUGUCGGCUCAUCACAUCCUGGGGCUGAAGUAGGUCCCAAGGGUAUGGCUGUUCGCCAUUUAAAGUGGUACGCGAGCUGGGUUUAGAACGUCGUGAGACAGUUCGGUCCCUAUCUGCCGUGGGCGCUGGAGAAUUGAGGGGGGCUGCUCCUAGUACGAGAGGACCGGAGUGGACGCAUCACUGGUGUUCGGGUUGUCAUGCCAAUGGCACUGCCCGGUAGCUAAAUGCGGAAGAGAUAAGUGCUGAAAGCAUCUAAGCACGAAACUUGCCCCGAGAUGAGUUCUCCCUGAGACUUUAAGUCUCCUGAAGGAACGUUGAAGACGACGACGUUGAUAGGCCGGGUGUGUAAGCGCAGCGAUGCGUUGAGCUAACCGGUACUAAUGAACCGUGAGGCUUAACCUU
rnacentral:rRNA from 1 species